AUGCCUGCGCGUUCUUUUAUGCGUCUGCGCGCUGCUCUCUCUCUUCUCGCCCAUGCAUUCAAUUUCAUCCAUCCAUCCAUCUGGGUGCAGAGCCUCGACCGGUGGAUUCCGAUCGGUCGAGACGCCGCUACAGUGCCGAGUGGGCUGCUACAAGAGGCAGUGUCUACGGGUGAGGCUCCGUGCUGGCUGAGGGAAUCGCCCAUGGAAGGCUCCCGGGGGAGGUGUAGAUGGGGUGGCAGGCGCAGAUCCAUGCUAAUGGUGGCGCUGGCCUUGUGCUUCGUCGUGGGCGUCUCCCUGUGCUGCUGCGCCCGGUCCGGGGCUUGCAGUGCCAGUGGCUGCAGUGGGAGGAGUACUGUGGUGGCGCUCCGUUCAGAUUUUUGGAGACGAAGAACAGCAUCGUUCGGUAAUCAGGAGCGGUUAGGCGCCAGCGGGAGCGGGGGAGGACGGAGGCUGCUGGUGGUAGCCGGGCCGGGGUCGUACCCGCCGCGGUGCACGUCCAAGUGCGGCAGCUGCAACCCGUGCUACCCGGUGCACGUGGCCGUGCCGCCGGGGGUGCCGGUCACCACGGAGUACUACCCGGAGGCGUGGCGGUGCAGGUGCGGCAACCGGCUCUACAUGCCAUGA
rnacentral:rRNA from 1 species